AUAUUUAGACGACGUGCCAUGGAAGAUGCAUACAUGGCAUUGAAGUUUAUAAGAAACAUUCAUGACAUGAUGGCAAACAAAUUUUACCAAUUUCCUUCAAAUGAAAGGUCUUUCUCUCUCAAAGAUAAAAUGGGAUUCAUUACACUCAAAAAGAAUGGGAAAGCUCUUGAUCUAUUUGCAAAUG